rnacentral:rRNA from 1 species
CACGAACCCGACGAACGUUAUUCGGAAUUAUUGGGCUUAAAGGGUGCGUAGGCGGUGCGGUAAGUGAGGUGUGAAAUCCCUCGGCUCAACCGAGGAAUUGCGCUUCAUACUGCCGUGCUGGAGGGAGACAGAGGUAAGCGGAACUGAUGGUGGAGCGGUGAAAUGCGUUGAUAUCAUCAGGAACACCGGUGGCGAAAGCGGCUUACUGGGUCUUCUCUGACGCUGAGGCACGAAAGAUAGGGUAGCGAACGGG